UGGGGAAUAUUGCACAAUGGAGGGAACUCUGAUGCAGCGACGCCGCGUGAGUGAUGAAGGACUUCGUUUCGUAAAACUCUGUUCUAUGGGAAGAAAAGGACUGUACCAUAGGAGAAAGCUCCUGCUAAAUACGUGCCAGCAGCCGCGGUAAUACGUAUGGAGCGAGCGUUUUCCGGAAUUAUUGGGCGUAAAGGGUGCGCAGGCGGCUUUACAAGUUGGAUGUGAAAUAUUGUGGGUCAACGAGAAACGUGCAUCAAAAACUGAAAAGCUUGAGUUAAGGAGAGGUAAGUGGAAUUCCUGGUGUAGCGGUGGAAUGCGUAGAUAUCAGGAGGAAUACCGGUGGCGAAGGCGACUUACUGGACUUAAAAUGACGAUCAGGGACGAAAGCGUGGGGAGCAAAAAGG
rnacentral:rRNA from 1 species